rnacentral:misc_RNA from 1 species
AAGUCGUAACAAGGUUUCCGUAGGUGAACCUGCGGAAGGAUCAUCACUGAGAGGCUCACUGGCCGCGAGGGCAGGGAGGCUCGAUAUCUUACACGCGGUGUACUGUAUUGCUGGCCCCACUUCCAUGCUGCCCUCCAGGGCAGCGUUGGUUGUUAGGGCUGUUGCGGCUACUUGGUCACGUUGGCCAUCUGGGCCAUGGUGACCACGUUGGCCCGGCACACUCACUACUAGUCUGAAAUAAUAGUCAUAUGACACAUGGACAACUUUCAUCAGUGGAUCUCUAGGCUCUC